rnacentral:misc_RNA from 1 species
CAGCAGGAAGAGCAAGCUGUAUGCCCAUUGUCACACUGAAAGACGGGAAUGGUCAACGAAUCGUAGCAGAUGGGGCAAUCAAGCACUUCUGGAUCUGUUAGGGUCACGCAAAUUGCCCCAUUUCUGCUGGGUAGGGACGAUUAGAUGAUCUAGGUCGGAAGAUCGGUGAGGGAAAGAAGCCAUCUUCUUCUCCUUCUUCUUCGUCAUCUUUCUCGUCCUCGUCAUCUUCCUCAUCUCGUUCUUGUUGUUGUUCUUCACUUUGGUCAUUUUCCUCCUCCAAUACCUCAUCCUCAUCCUCUACUAUUUCAACAUUUUCAUCUUCUGUAUCAUGCCAAGACGCUUGUUGAGAAGAAUCACAGUUCUUCUGUCUCUUUUGCCUUCGACUGCUUGGCCCUUCAUCUGCUUCUCCGCCAAUUGAGAAUCUCGCCAUGUCUCUCUAAAUUUUGAUUUCCUACCAACACGACACUGUCCGCUCACGUCCC